UGGGGAAUUUUGCGCAAUGGGGGAAACCCUGACGCAGCAACGCCGCGUGGAGGAUGAAGUCCCUUGGGACGUAAACUCCUUUCGACCCGGACGAUACUGACGGUACGGGUGGAAGAAGCCCCGGCUAACUUCGUGCCAGCAGCCGCGGUAAUACGAGGGGGGCGAGCGUUGUUCGGAAUUAUUGGGCGUAAAGGGUGCGUAGGCGGUUUGGUAAGUCUGAUGUGAAAUCUAUGGGCUCAACUCAUAGUCUGCAUCGGAAACUGCCGGGCUUGAGUGUGGGAGAGGUGAGUGGAAUUCCUGGUGUAGCGGUGAAAUGCGUAGAUAUCAGGAGGAACACCUGUGGCGAAAGCGGCUCACUGGACCAUAACUGACGCUGAUGCACGAAAGCUAGGGGAGCAAAC
rnacentral:rRNA from 1 species